rnacentral:misc_RNA from 1 species
GGAGAAGUAAGCUUAGAUAGGUGGAAUUUAGGGGGCCAAGGGAAGAUCUUUGGUCUCAAGUUAUCAUCAUUAUUAACAUUCCAAGAUCCAAUAAACAACUUAUGCUAUAACCUUUUUCUACUCCUUAACCCUUAUCUUCCCCUUCAAUUUGGUAGGUUGGGGCAAGAUAUUGCAGAAAUUAACUUUUCAACAGCUAGUUAAGCAGCUGAUCUUGAGGGGAACUUCAUAUGCGCAGAACUUGAUGAUUAGCUCAACUGACUGAGCAACUUCGAUUGAAACAUAUGUCGAGAGAUUUCGUUCAAUCUUCAGUUUGGUUGUUUUCGG